UUUUUUAAUUGAAAGCUUGUAUGAAUGGUCGAAUGAAAUAUAAACUGUUUCAAAUUUAAAUAAUAGAAUUUUAUUUUUUAGUUAAAAAGCUAAAAUAUAAUUAAAGGACGAGAAGACCCUAUAAAGUUUAAUAAUUUUUAAAAAAAUAAUUUUUUAAUAUAAUUUUAUUUUUUUUUUAAAAAUUAUUUUAUUGGGGAGAUAAUAAAAUUUAAAAAACUUUUAUUUUAAAAAACAUAAAUUAAUGAAUUAAUGAUCCCUUAUUAUUGAUUAAAAAAAUAAAUUACUUUAGGGAUAACAGCGUAAU
rnacentral:rRNA from 1 species